ACCGCGCGGCCGCCAGCGCCCGGGAGCGCGUCUCGGGCUGGAGCUCAGGAAAGGCCGAGAAAUGCACCGGCCAACGGCCAUCCGCUCUCCCAGAGUCCCCGAGGCCCCGCACUCCUGCUACUCCGCGUGAUUUUGUCGCCCCCUGCGGCCACCGGGCCCGUGCCUCUCUCCUCCCUGGAGCCCCUCGACUCAGCUUGAAGCCAGGUAUGUGGUUUGACUUAGAUCAGGCCUCCUCUCCCCAAGUGUCGCCAGUAUCCCGCGUUUCCUGUCCGAGGCGCAGAGCUAGCGCCUAAGGUGCUAGAAGAGAGAGGAUGAUUUGCGGGGUGCGCUGUGGCGCGGCCAGGCCGGGAGAACAGGGGCCCCCUGGGAAACUGGGAGAGCCUCAAACUUCCCCAAAUGCCUACUCUUCUAGCCCUAGUCAGGGGUGCUGGGACUCAAGACACGGCCCAGGAACUCAGUCUGGCCGGGAGACUGCUGUGCAGGCAGCACCCCACAGAGAGCCUAGUGCUGAGGCAUCUGAUCUGGGACGGGUGGCCUGGACAACCUCUCCAUAGAGAGGUCAGAUGUGAGGUGGCCUUUGAGAAAGUUAGGAUUUAAUUCCUGAUCACUGUUGGUCAUUUGAGGCUGGCUGUCCUUCUGGUCACCUUACCUGGAUCUUCUGUUGUCUUUGUGUGACGUGACCCACCAGGAAGCUGUCUUAAUCGAUUUCUCCAAAAACCUCUACCUAAAAACUUGGGUCAGCCUGCCUGCCUGGUCCAGUCUCUCUGCUAAGGGCCAGACCCACAUCUCAACUUUCCAGCCGCUUGCCAGACUUGCCACAAACACUGCAACUCCCAAAGGCCCCAGACUGAAUGAGCACUGGACCCCUUGGCCAGUUGCAUCUCAGCUUCCUCAUUCCUGAGACCAACACAUCUACCUCCCCAGCCCCUAGCUCUGAACACUUAACUCCUUCUUGUCUCCUUUUCCUUUCUUCUCUUUGAGUCAAGUAUUGAGUUGAUCUCAAAUGCCCUAAUUCCACAUGACCCCAGUCUGGUGGUUUUCCAGCAGGGAUUCCAUGCUGCUUCCCCUGCUCUGGUAGGACUUGGCAAAAAGUUCUUUUAGGAGCUCCUUGAGCUUUUGCCUCUGGAUUUAUCUUCCAUGCAGGCACUGGCUCUGCCACCCAGCCCACAGCUGACACUAACCCUGCUAGGGUUCCUGGGGUGUGGCCACUCCCAGGGGCUGGCUGGACUGCCAGAGGCUCCCUGCAGCCAGACAAGUAUGAAAACUCUCUGCUCUUUGAGCUGAGGCCCCAAAACACACUAAAGGAGCUGGACCUUUCUGGCAUAACAGGUUCUGCAAAGAGCACAGGGUGAGCGACCUGCAUGGGUAUCAGGUGCUCGGCUUACCACUAAAAAAGCAUCCUUGAGGAGUUCUCGUCGUGGCUCAGUGGUUAAUGAAUCUAAGAACCAUGAGGGUGCAGGUUCAACCCCUGGCCUUACUCAGUGGGUUAAGGAUCCGGCGUUGCCGUGAGCUGUGGUGUAGGUUGCAGAUGAGGCUUGGAUCCUGUGUUGCUGUGGCUGUGGUGUAGGCCGGCGGCUACAGCUCUGAUUAGACCCCUAGCCUGGGAACCUCCACAUGCCGCAAAUGCGGCCUUAGGAAAAAAAGACCAAAAAAAAAAAAAAAAAAGCAUCCUUGAGACAAGUUAAGGUCAAUAAGAAAAUGUACACAUAUUUUCUUAUCCAGUUGAGCUGUUUUUAUUGAGUGAACUCAGAAUCCUUUGUUAGUAAUUCAAAUAUAAGAUAGAAUUUUCAAGGCCUUUUUUGAGGAAACAUCUUUGUAUUCAAAUAGUUACCCAUUCCUGUAGAUGCAGCAGAAGUCAACAUGGGUGGCAUGAGCCAGAGUAAACAGGGCUUACAAGCUCAGAUCAGAAAACUAGGAAGAGGAGUUCCCAUCUUGGCACAGCGGAAACAAAUCCAACUAGGAACCAUGAGACUGCAGGUUUGAUCCCUGGCCCCGUGAUCUAUGAUGUAGGUCACAGACAUGGCUCCAAUCCAGCAUGCCUGUGGUGUAGGCCAGUAGCCAUAGCUCCUAUGCCACUGGUACAGCCCUAAAAAGCAAAAAAAAAAAAAAAAAAA
rnacentral:lncRNA from 1 species